UCCGGUGUCGAUGCGCUUAGGGGAAACACCCGUUCCCAUCCCGAACACGACGGUUAAGACCUGAGCGGCCGAUGGUACUGCAUUGGAGACGAUGUGGGAGAGCAGGUGGGCGCCGGAU
rnacentral:rRNA from 1 species